UACGUAGGUGGCGAGCGUUGUCCGGAAUUACUGGGUGUAAAGCGCGUGUAGGCGGGAGGCCAAGUCUGCGGUGAAAUCGCUCGGCUCAACUGGGCGGGGUCCGUGGAAACUGGUCACCUGGAGGACGGUAGAGGCGUGUGGAAUUCCGGGGUGUAGUGGUGAAAUGCGUAGAGAUCCGGAGGAACACCAGUGGCGAAGGCGACACGCUGGGCCGUACCUGACGCUAAAGCGCGACAGCAUGGGGAGCAAACGGG
rnacentral:rRNA from 1 species